AUUGAACGCUGGCGGCAGGCCUAACACAUGCAAGUCGAGCGGCAGCGACUUAACUGAACCUUCGGGGAACGUUAAGGGCGGCGAGCGGCGGACGGGUGAGUAAUGUCUGGGAAUAUGCCCUGAUGUGGGGGAUAACUAUUGGAAACGAUAGCUAAUACCGCAUAAUCUCUUCGGAGCAAAGAGGGGGACCUUCGGGCCUCUCGCGUCAGGAUUAGCCCAGGUGGGAUUAGCUUGUUGGUGAGGUAAUGGCUCACCAAGGCAACGAUCCCUAGCUGGUCUGAGAGGAUGAUCAGCCACACUGGAACUGAGACACGGUCCAGACUCCUACGGGAGGCAGCAGUGGGGAAUAUUGCACAAUGGGGGAAACCCUGAUGCAGCCAUGCCGCGUGUGUGAAGAAGGCCUUCGGGUUGUAAAGCACUUUCAGUAGGGAGGAAGGUAGUGUAGUUAACACCUGCAUUAUUUGACGUUACCUACAGAAGAAGCACCGGCUAACUCCGUGCCAGCAGCCGCGGUAAUACGGAGGGUGCGAGCGUUAAUCGGAAUUACUGGGCGUAAAGCGCAUGCAGGCGGCCUGUUAAGUCAGAUGUGAAAGCCCGGGGCUUAACCUCGGAAUUGCAUUUGAAACUGGCAGGCUAGAGUCUUGUAGAGGGGGGUAGAAUUUCAGGUGUAGCGGUGAAAUGCGUAGAGAUCUGAAGGAAUACCAGUGGCGAAGGCGGCCCCCUGGACAAAGACUGACGCUCAGAUGCGAAAGCGUGGGGAGCAAACAGG
rnacentral:rRNA from 1 species